rnacentral:lncRNA from 1 species
AUAGUGAUUUACAACAUUAUGGAUUUGGUGAACCCUAACGUUGUAAUCCAAGAGCAAAACCUUAUAAAUUGUUACCAAAAAUUUGUAAGUUACUGUUCACCCGUUUUCGUGUUUAACUCCUGAUGUGGAAGGGCGAAGUUCCCCACUGGCUUGGAGACCACUUGUUGGUCGACAAGUCAGCUUUCUUUGGUGUGCGAGCGU